ACAAGAGAUAAGCUGUUAUAAACACAAGAGAUAAGCUGUUAUAAACACAAGAGAUAAGCUGUUAUAAACACAAGAGAUAAGCUGUUAUAAACACAAGAGAUAAGCUGUUAUAAACACAAGAGAUAACCUGUUAUAAACACAUGAGAUAACCUGUUAUAAACACAAGAGAUAAGCUGUUAUAAACAAGCAACUCACCAUUUGGAUGUUUUAUAUUUAGUAUUCACACAAUCUCCACUUAAAAGAUUUCUGACCAAAAAAAAAUCUCUAGUUGAUCUCAAUUGUGCCUCUGGAUACCACAAACUUAUGCAGGUAGCCUUCUAGACAAACAUUACUUGUAAAAAAAAAAAGUGUUU